CCUACGGGCGGCAGCAGUGAGGAAUAUUGGUCAAUGGACGAGAGUCUGAACCAGCCAAGUAGCGUGAAGGAUGACUGCCCUAUGGGUUGUAAACUUCUUUUAUAUGGGAAUAAAAUGUUCCACGUGUGGGAUUUUGUAUGUACCAUAUGAAUAAGGAUCGGCUAACUCCGUGCCAGCAGCCGCGGUAAUACGGAGGAUCCGAGCGUUAUCCGGAUUUAUUGGGUUUAAAGGGAGCGUAGGUGGAUUGUUAAGUCAGUUGUGAAAGUUUGCGGCUCAACCGGAAAAUUGCAGUUGAAACUGGCAGUCUUGAGUACAGUAGAGGUGGGCGGAAUUCGUGGUGUAGCGGUGAAAUGCUUAGAUAUCACGAAGAACUCCGAUUGCGAAGGCAGUUCACUGGACUGCAACUGACACUGAGGCUCGAAAGUGUGGGUAUCAAACAGGAUUAGAUACCCCAGUAGUC
rnacentral:rRNA from 1 species